UGUAUGAAUGGGCAGAAGAAAUUUUCUUAACUGACUAUCCCAUCAUUGCCUGCUGUUGGAGACUGAACACUGUAUUGAGAAUUGAUGGGGUGUAGCAAUCAGUGGGUGUUCUCAUUUGCCCUGAGAAGAAUCAGAGAACUCCCUGGGCCUCAUGAGAUGGUGACACCCUGCAGUAGGAGCAGUUCCUACCAGUAUCUUUUAAAAGCAGACAUAAGUUCUCAUAGCAUCUGAUCCAUUUCUGGAGACAAACUUUGGGUAGCAGUUACUUGAGAUGUCCGGCUGAUUGAUGAGGAUAAUUUCCCUGAGACUCUUAACAUUUUGUAGGACAUGGACAGCUAUAUUACUGUAGAAAAUGUCAGGACGGUGGAGAUUUAGAUAAGUGGUGUGAUGUUAUUGAUGGUAAACAGAAGACUGUGACCUUGAAUCUGAAGAUCUGUGAUGAAGACUGGACGUUUGGGGUCACUCUCUGUUACAGUACUACAAAUCUAACAGUGUUACGCUCAGCCACAAAGAGGUUGUCUCUGAUGUCCACACAUAAACCUAAUGGAAGCUCUAAAUCACAGUGAAUGUAACGGAGGAACUGUCCGUCCUGAUCUAGGAUGUGGAUACGGUGAUUGUCACAGUCUGCU